CUCAUUCAUCCUCCCUCUCUCUCUCCUACUUCCCUUUCUCUCUGUCUAGCGAUGAAUUUCUUUUAUUUUUUUCUUCCUUCAAUCUAUCUAUCUUCUUCCUUCAUCUUCUUCAAUCAUAAACAUCAGAGCAUUCUCUGUUGGAAAAGAUUAGUGGAUCGGGUUCUUCUCGAUCAAUUCCACUCCAAUCUGAUCAAUUCCACUCCAAUCUGAUCAAUUCCACUCCAAUCGAGUUCAAAAUCAAAAUUUAAAAACCCUAAUCCGUCUUUUGUAACUUUGCCCACACUGGAGAAACUGUGUGGGAACAUUAUCACGUCAAGCCACUGGAUCUCGUCGCAUACUCUCCUGCGCCUUCCUCUGUAGCUCUUAACCACCAUCAUCUUUGCCUUCUCUCGCUUCAUCUUCUUCUUCUCGUCUUUUCAGUUCCAUCAUCGCUUCUAAACUCGAGAGGUCGUUCUUGUCUGAGUCUUACACUUGGCUUGAAGGGGAUGUUGGUUACGGACAAAUGCUUAGAACGCUUCCCUACACUCUCCACUGGUAUCCGCCUUACCGGAAAAUGGAACCCUCUGCUCCGGAGCAUCUCCACCGCCGGGUCUCGGCGUCGGGUUGAGAUUGUCAAGGCUUCGACUGUGGAUUCGGAUUACUCGUCGAGAAGGAGCAGUAGCAACGAGCAGAGGGAGUCGAUUAUGCUUCCUGGAUGCGACUACAACACUCUUGCUUACUCUUACCUCAACACUCUUGCUACUGUUUUGGAAGGGUUUUUUCUCUCUUCUUAAGAGCUGAGAGUUGAGGCUUAGCUGGAAAUAUGCAAUUACAUUUGAGAAUAAUGGUAAUGUGUCAACUGAUGUCUAGUUUUAUCGUAAGAAAGUGUGUUCCUUUAGUUCUGAUUUGUGCUGUUCAUCAUCAUCCAUACGUUAGUUGAUAGUUUCUGAACAAUGUCUUGUUCUGUGAUGUAUGAGUUAUAGUGGAUGAUAUGUCAGAGAGAAGAUUGUUAACGUUCAAUCAUUUGUAAUUUUUUAAUUAGCUUGUAUUGUUUCUUGCUGUUUUGAAAUCUUGUAACUGAGCUUUGCAGAGAAAAUUGGAAGAUGCCUUAAAAGAGCCAGAGGAAUGGGACAUUGCUCUGUUUCUCUCUGUCAUCACACACGAAGAUGAGAACGGAAACGUCAAACUUGAGUGUCCCGCCAUUGGUAAACAACAGUUUGCAGCUGGGAGAUUUCAUAUUGACUCACAGAGGACAGCUACUAAAGAUGUUGAUCGCAUUGUUGGGCUUGAUGUUCUUCGUAUUAUCAAAGAGUCUACUGCUACUUCUUUGGCUUAUGCUUUUGAAAGGUAAAACAAUUAAAUAAAUCUUGUAUUUGUUCUUGGUGGUGGUACCUUUGAUAUGUCUGGUAGUUUACAUUAUACUAGUGUUCGGUCCCCGUGCGUUGUAUGGGGAAAAAAUAUUAAUUUUUGAAGUUUAACAUCAAUAUUAGAUUUUGAUCCGCUUUCGAAGCGCGGA